rnacentral:rRNA from 1 species
AUUUUCGGUUGAUCCUGCCGGACCUGACUGCUAUCUGAUUGGUACUAAGCCAUGCGAGUCGUUGUACAAUACAAGGCGGACUGCUCAGUAACACGUAGUUAACUUAACCUAUGGAUGGGAAUAACCUCGGGAAACUGAGAAUAAUGCCCAAUAGACCACAGUGCCUGGAAUGGCCUGUGGUUGAAAUGAUUUAUCGCCGUAGGAUAGGACUGCGGCCUAUCAGCUGGUUGGUGAGGUAAUGGCCCACCAAGGCUAUAACAGGUACGGGCUCUGAGAGGAGGGGCCCGGAGAUGGGUACUGAGACACGGACCCAGGCCCUAUGGGGCGCAGCAGGCGAGAAACCUUUGCAAUGUGCGAAAGCACGACAAGGUUAAUCCGAGUGUCUCCUGCUAAAGGAGUCUUUUGUCAGUUGUAGAAUCACUGGUGAAUAAGGGGUGGGCAAGUUCUGGUGUCAGCCGCCGCGGUAAAACCAGCACCUCGAGUGGUCAGGAGGUUUAUUGGGCCUAAAGCAUCCGUAGCCGGUUGCAUAAGUUUUCGGUUAAAUCUAUGCGCUUAACGUAUAGGCCGCCGAAAAUACUGUGCAGCUAGGGAGUGGGAGAGGUACACGGUACUCGAUAGGAAGGGGUAAAA